rfam:Anaerostipes sp. 992a contig000004, whole genome shotgun sequence.
AAACUUCAUAGAUUGCUAAGUACUCCUGUGAUGGGAGAGUAAAAGGGAAGACAGGUGCAAGUCCUGCGCAGUCCCGCUGCUGUAAAAGAGGAGAAGCCACAAGCUCACUGGUCAUGACAACUGGGAAGAGGUGGUAUUUGAUGAUUCUUAAGCCAGAAGACCUGCUUAGCGAGAAAACAUCGA